rnacentral:rRNA from 1 species
UACGUAGGGUGCAAGCGUUGUCCGGAAUUAUUGGGCGUAAAGAGCUCGUAGGCGGUCUGUCGCGUCUGCUGUGAAAACUCAGGGCUUAACCCUGAGCUUGCAGUGGGUACGGGCAGACUAGAGUGCGGGUAGGGGAGACUGGAAUUCCUGGUGUAGCGGUGAAAUGCGCAGAUAUCAGGAGGAACACCGGGUGGCGUAGACGGCUCUCUGGACCAUAAACUGACGCUGGAGACACGGAAAAGCGUGGGUAGCAAACAGG